rnacentral:rRNA from 1 species
AUUGAACGCUGGCGGCAUGCUUUACACAUGCAAGUCGAACGGCAGCGCGGGCUUCGGCCUGGCGGCGAGUGGCGAACGGGUGAGUAAUGCAUCGGAACGUGCCCAGUAGUGGGGGAUAGCCCGGCGAAAGCCGGAUUAAUACCGCAUACGACCUGAGGGUGAAAGCGGGGGACCGAAAGGCCUCGCGCUAUUGGAGCGGCCGAUGUCGGAUUAGCUAGUUGGUGGGGUAAAGGCUUACCAAGGCGACGAUCCGUAGCUGGUCUGAGAGGACGACCAGCCACACUGGGACUGAGACACGGCCCAGACUCCUACGGGAGGCAGCAGUGGGGAAUUUUGGACAAUGGGGGCAACCCUGAUCCAGCCAUGCCGCGUGCGGGAAGAAGGCCUUCGGGUUGUACCGCUUUUGUUCGGGAAGAAAUCCUCUGGGCUAAUACCCCGGGGGGAUGACGGUACCGGAAGAAUAAGCACCGGCUAACUACGUG